rnacentral:misc_RNA from 1 species
UGUUUUUAAUUUUUUUUUUCAUCGGUGAUGCAAGGAAGGGUGUGGCUGGUGGUGAUAGUGAGCGACAUAUAACCGUAAUCCCAGGACGGCAGGCCAUAGAGUGAAGCAGCAGGAGCAUGUAUCUUGGUUGCAAAGGCUUUACUUCUGUUUCUCUUUGGCCUUUUCUUCACUUUACUUUUCUCUCCACCAAUAUAAAAAUUCUUUCAUUUCGUUUUUAUGGUUACU